rnacentral:rRNA from 1 species
GGAUUAGAUACCCUGGUAGUCCACGCCGUAAACGAUGAUCACUAGAUGUUAGGCUUUUUAGCUUAGUGUCGCAGCUAACGCUUUAAGUGAUCCGCCUGGGGAGUACGGUCGCAAGAUUAAAACUUAAAGGAAUUGACGGGGGUCCGCACAAGCGGUGGAACAUGUGGUUUAAUUCGACACUACGCGAGGAACCUUACCUAGGCUUGACAUGCUUUUGAUCGCUAUAGAAAUAUAGUCUUUUAAGCUUGCUUAAACAAUUGCACAGGUGCUGCAUGGCUGUCGUCAGCUCGUGCUG